rnacentral:rRNA from 1 species
UACGGGAGGCAGCAGUGGGGAAUAUUGCACAAUGGGCGCAAGCCUGAUGCAGCGACGCCGCGUGAGGGAUGACGGCCUUCGGGUUGUAAACCUCUUUCAGCAGGGAAGAAGCGAAAGUGACGGUACCUGCAGAAGAAGCGCCGGCUAACUACGUGCCAGCAGCCGCGGUAAUACGUAGGGCGCGAGCGUUGUCCGGAAUUAUUGGGCGUAAAGAGCUCGUAGGCGGCUUGUCGCGUCGGUUGUGAAAGCCCGGGGCUUAACCCCGGGUCUGCAGUCGAUACGGGCAGGCUAGAGUUCGGUAGGGGAGAUCGGAAUUCCUGGUGUAGCGGUGAAAUGCGCAGAUAUCAGGAGGAACACCGGUGGCGAAGGCGGAUCUCUGGGCCGAUACUGACGCUGAGGAGCGAAAGCGUGGGGAGCGAACAGGAUUAGAUACCCUGGUAGUCCACGCCGUAAACGGUGGGCACUAGGUGUGGGCAACAUUCCACGUUGUCCGUGCCGCAGCUAACGCAUUAAGUGCCCCGCCUGGGGAGUACGGCC